UCUAAUAUGGCAGAUUAGUGCAAUGAAUUUAAGCUUCAUAUAUAAAGUUAAAACUUUUUUUAGAA
rnacentral:tRNA from 1 species